UGGAUUUAGGUGAAUUCGACAAAAUACAACGUGAUUUUGGUAACAAAAAAAAAUCUACCCUUUAGAUCACAACAAAAUCAUAGUGUUAUCAUUUUGUCAAAUUCACUAUAAAUCCAAACAUUCCACUAUAUAUGGAGAGUGGAAUUUGCAAGUUGCAACCUUUUAAACCGUGGUUGCGGUAAUGAUCAUGAUUUUUUCAUGAUCAUUCAUAUUGUGGAGAGUUUAUUUGCUUUUAUUUUAAAAAAACUCUUUUGUGAUAAUUUGCAUAUACAUAUACAUUUGCGAUCUGAUUGUGUGGUUGCCAGAGAAAACUCGGCAAAUAAAACAUGAGUAGAGUUUUGACGGAGAGAUAAAUCUUCUUGAACUGCAACAACCACUUGGAGAGAUGAAUAAUAUCUGGAGAUUAAUAAUCUAUCUGGAAAUGAACUGUAAUUCCUGACCUUAUGGCAUUUGUAUGUACUGCAGGACACACACCCUAGUGUGAAUCUAAUCAGGUAUGAGUAUGAUUGUACCAUGGUGG
rnacentral:lncRNA from 1 species